rnacentral:rRNA from 1 species
UACAGAGGUCUCGAGCGUUGUUCGGAUUCAUUGGGCGUAAAGGGCGCGUAGGCGGCGGGGUAAGUCUGGUGUGAAAUCUCGGAGCUCAACUCCGAAAUUGCACUGGAUACUGCUCUGCUAGAGGGCUGGAGAGGAGAUCGGAAUUCACGGUGUAGCAGUGAAAUGCGUAGAUAUCGUGAGGAAGACCAGUGGCGAAGGCGGAUCUCUGGACAGCUCCUGACGCUGAGGCGCGAAAGCGUGGGGAGCAAACAGG